AUUUUAGUAGUAUAAUUAGUAUGCCUUCUUUCCAAGUAGGUGGUUUCUUUUGUAGAAUUAAAAUA
rnacentral:tRNA from 1 species